AGAACAUUCACAAAGAGAAAAUGACAGGCAAAAUAUGGCUCUGCUGAAAGUUUUAACAGUCAAAGUAAAAUAAUAGUCCAGAGACAAGAGCAAGAAAAAAGGUCACAUCUACUCAGUUAGAAAAAGAGUAUCAGUUUCAAGAAAUCCAUGGAUCAGCUGGAAAGGACUUAGAGGAAGACAAGAUAAAUAAUCAGAGGG
rnacentral:lncRNA from 12 species